UACAGAGGGGGCAAGCGUUGUUCGGAAUUACUGGGCGUAAAGGGCGCGUAGGCGGCCUUCUAAGUCGAACGUGAAAUCCCCGGGCUCAACCCGGGAACUGCGUCCGAUACUGGAAGGCUUGAAUCCGGGAGAGGGAUGCGGAAUUCCAGGUGUAGCGGUGAAAUGCGUAGAUAUACGGAGGAACACCAGCGGCGAAGGCGGGUAGCUGGGCCAACACUGACGCUGAUGCGCGAAAGCCAGGGUAGCAAACGGG
rnacentral:rRNA from 1 species